rnacentral:lncRNA from 1 species
AUGGGGCAGGGGGAGAAUUUAGUUGCCUUACAUGAGCCUAUUUUCCGAAAAAAGCCUAAAAAAACCAUAAAAUUGCGAUUAUUUCUCCAGGAGCUCCAACAACCUAUUUCAAAAUUGUGGUUUUUAGAAUCUGGUAGUGCUCCUCUUGACAUUCCAACUCAAAUUUUUAUGUCAGGACCAACUUCGAGCAAAACCGCUUUCAGGAGCACCGUGGGGGGUGGAAGGGACGUUUGGAUCACCCUGUAUGAUUUUUUUAUGAAGUUCAAAAGUGAGGGAGCUGUGGAAAUGGAGCCAUUUGUGGAACCACACGGAUGCUGUAAGUUGAGUGUGUGUCAUCAUUUUGUGGAACACUCGCCCGUUGCAGAACCCAGGUUCCAUACAACGAAAAAUAAGUCCUCAUAUAACUCAAUUAUUAAAGAAUGUUUUGGAACUCUAAUCAAGUGUGCCUACACUUUGCAAGCAAAGGAACAGAUUUUACUCAAUAUCAAGGGUGGAUUCCACUUCACCUUCUCUCUUCAGUUUCUGCAGCCUGAUUUUUGA